rnacentral:rRNA from 1 species
AAUAGAUACCCUGGUAGUCCACGCCGUAAACGAUGAGUGCUAGGUGUUAGGGGGUCCAACCCUUAGUGCCGAAGUUAACACAUUAAGCACUCCGCCUGGGGAGUACGGUCGCAAGACUGAAACUCAAAGGAAUUGACGGGGGCCCGCACAAGCGGUGGAGCAUGUGGUUUAAUUCGAAGCAACGCGAAGAACCUUACCAGGGCUUGACAUCCCUCUGACCGUUCUAGAGAUAGAGCUUCCCUUCGGGGCAGAGGUGACAGGUGGUGCAUGGUUGUCGUCAGCUCGUGUCGUGAGAUGUUGGGUUAAGUCCCGCAACGAGCGCAACCCUUGUCCUUAGUUGCCAGCAUUCAGUUGGGCACUCUAGGGAGACUGCCGGUGACAAACCGGAGGAAGGUGGGGAUGACGUCAAAUCAUCAUGCCCCUUAUGUCCUGGGCUACACACGUGCUACAAUGGCUGGUACAAAGGGUAGCGAAGCAGUGAUGUGGAGCCAAUCCCAAAAAGCCAGUCACAGUUCGGAUUGUAGGCUGCAACUCG